CCCAGAGGAAAGGCUGCUGUGGGUGCCGUGGUGUGAAGCAGAUGCAGUGAGAGGGGCUGGCUGCUCCUCCGAAGCCAAAUGAUGUAACUCCCGUGAAGCCCUGCAAGAUGUUGGCAGGAGGAGCCCAGUGACAACUCCAACUCUCUGUUUUCUUCCCUUGGAGCAUGACAGCAUCACUGGCAGUGGCUGGUGUGAAAUGACAGUGGCAGCUCUGAACAUCCCACUGCUCCCUCAGAGUGAUCCAACAGAUGAUCCUUAAUGAGAAAAGGACACUGAAGAGUUUGGCCUGGAGAGAAAAACUGCC
rnacentral:lncRNA from 1 species